CUGUGUCUUACUCAUAGUUUUGAGAAACCACAUGCUAUUUGUCUUGGUUAAUUGCGAUAUAUCAAGAGUAAGAGCUGCCUCGAAAAUUAGUAUGCAUGAUUUGGGGUGUGUCUGCGAGUGACUGGCAUAUAGGCCAGCAAAGUAAAGAAAGAGACCCACCCUAGACUUGCACAGAAUAGGAAGGGAAAAAAGUGUUCCCAUUUUGAAAAAGCUAUGGCUUUCACAGCACCUUUACACAUUGGUCUUGUUUCUUCAGAGUGCAGAUUUGUACCAGCAACUCUAGAGUGAGCUCCCAGCCCUUCAGUCACUGACAUUCCUGGAUCCUCUGCCUGGCCAGUGUGCAGCCAGCCGUCAUGGAAUCUUUUACCUCUAAUCCCAGACCCCGGAGUCUGUCACUUCCAUGCGCUCAGCCUGGCCUCACUGAACUACAGCUGCAGACAAGGUUCCCCAAGUUAGAAGAAAUUCUAGCCCCAGCAAUUCAAAAAGCCUGCUAAUUUGACCCAACUGGAGGACAGGCUGUAUGUCAGACUCCAUGCAAAUUCAUGGCUUCUAGGUGAGCUCUGAAGAACUCGCAGUCCUGGGCCCCCACACAAAGUGGUUCAAUCAGUCAAUCUCUGAGGUUCUUGCCAGCUGAAACAUGAUCCUUUAGUU